AUUGAACGCUGGCGGAAUGCUUUACACAUGCAAGUCGAGCGGCAGCGCGGGGGCAACCCUGGCGGCGAGCGGCGAACGGGUGAGUAACAUAUCGGAACGUACCCAGUCGUGGGGAUAACUAUCCGAAAGGAUAGCUAAUACCGCAUACGUCCUGAGGGAGAAAGCGGGGGAUCGCAAGACCUCGCGCGAUUGGAGCGGCCGAUAUCGGAUUAGCUAGUUGGUGGGGUAAAGGCUCACCAAGGCGACGAUCCGUAGCGGGUCUGAGAGGACGACCCGCCACACUGGAACUGAGACACGGUCCAGACUCCUACGGGAGGCAGCAGUGGGGAAUUUUGGACAAUGGGGGCAACCCUGAUCCAGCCAUUCCGCGUGAGUGAAGAAGGCCUCGGUUG
rnacentral:rRNA from 1 species